CCCUGAGUCCCUCUGCCUUUCUGCUCUUACCCUGGAGCCAGCCAGCGAGCCGUGGAGUAUAACGGUAGUCUUCCUGGUGCAACUUUGGGGCCAAGCCCUGGAAGAAUCCCAGCCCUUCACUCCCCAGACUCUUCGGUGCAAGCAGCAUAAACUCCUUUCUCACGUGCAAGGUCAGAUCCAGCUCCUCUAACAAAUCCCGUGCUGGCAAAGUGCUGAGAAAUUCUGCUGAUCAGGAAGACCUGCAGACAUGCUCGAGAUAUAUGAGGCUCGCGUGACUUUUCCUUCAUCCCGACCUCAGCAUAAGCCUCCUUGGAAGCUCAGAACCAGGCAGCCUUCUCCCUUCACCCUGAGGCUGGUUCCCCACGAGCUGGAGUUGAAUUCUUCUUGCAACAGUGACUGUCUUUGGGCCACAGCCUCUCCCCAGGAGAUGAGCAUCAGCUGUGUGUGGAGAAGACCAGGAGGCAGAUAAUUUUGUCUGUGUCAUGACAUAAA